GAUGAACGCUAGCGGCAGGCUUAAUACAUGCAAGUCAAGGGGUAGCAAUACAACCGGCGCACGGGUGAGUAACGCGUACACAACAUACCAUAUACUGGAGUAUAGCUUCGGGAAACUGAAGGUAAUCCUCCAUAACAUUGCGAGAAGGCAUCUAAUUGCAAUUAAAGUUUCGACGGUAUAUGAUUGGUGUGCGUUUGAUUAGCUAGUUGGUAGGGUAACGGCCUACCAAGGCGACGAUCAAUAGCUGGCGUGAGAGCGCGACCAGCCACACUGGAACUGAGACACGGUCCAGACUCCUACGGGAGGCAGCAGUAGGGAAUAUUGGACAAUGGGCGAAAGCCUGAUCCAGCCAUGCGCGUGAUAGAUGAAGGACCGUCCU
rnacentral:rRNA from 1 species